UAGUUCAAUUCAUUCAGACAAUUCUUACUUUUCUUAGUCCAUCGUAUGGUGGCUUUAGAUAAUAGUUUGACUAAUUGCAAUGUCUGGUUUCAAUAAUAAUUCAAAAAGAGUCAAUUGCAACUAAAUGCUGAUGUUGUUUCACGAUUGCCCAAAUAUUCCUGUGUUAUCCACGGCGAUGGAUACCCUUAACACGUGGCUUUAACUAAGACAACCCAGCUGUUGCCUACAUGCACCAAGUUGUGUUCGAAAGGAAAUUGGAUGUAGGUGACUCGGAUCUUUUUCAAUCAACAGAUGGAAUACAAAAAUCUACAAUCCUCAAGAGCACAACAUUAUUGGUUUAUUUUAUUAGCACAAAGAGACGGCAAGCGGAAUUUUUCUUAUUCGCAGUACUGACAACCUUUGCCUAGCAAACUCGGCCUUGGUAACGACACCCUCGAAAGACUCGGCGUAUAAUUUUAUUUCAUCAGAUUUGUAUGCCGGAGCUUCGUACUUGGGAGCGUAUUCGGCUGACCUGUAAGAAUCGGCGGCAGCGACAGCGAAAAGGGCGGCGAGGAUGAUGAACUAAUAAAAUAGGAACAUUUGACGCCAUGUAAAAGGCUUAUGUAAGAAUCUCAGAAAUGAACUUCGGAACGUGGGGCCAACUAUUAACCGCUUCGUCUUCGUCACCGAAGAUAUAGGUCUACAACUCUCCAUGACGUCCAUGCCCAUCUCCACAUCCAACUCUUUCAUGUCGUCCAUGUGUUGCUUUCAUUGCCCGUUUUACUCACUACCUGGUGCAAAACAAAAUAAUGGGUCCUCGGGUCACCUCAGCACAUGCACUUUCAUAGGCACUUCCAUGCCGAAUCGAUGACCACGAAGCGCUUCACGCUAAAGGCCAGCACAUUUUUCUGAAUUGUGUAUCCAUAUUCUGAAUGCAGUUUUUUUCCAUUGUCGUCGUUUUUCCGUGAACCAAGUAAUCGAUUUUUUUUUAACUUUUUGGGUAUCUAUGUAGUUAUCGAUUUCUAUCUGCGUAUUGAACUUAUGGUGAUCCAAUCCAUCCCAAUCGGUUCCGGCCAUCCAAUUUUCGCAAGGAAGAAGAAUUCCUUUUUAUUUUAAAACAGAACCGAGAAUCCAGGAAUAUUUUAGCGCUUCCAUAAUUAAAAUAUUUAUGGUAGUACUUUGAUCGAAUUGAAUUUUUGUAUUAAAUAAUAAGUUUAGAUACACACAUUUCAGCGGUUUCAA
rnacentral:lncRNA from 1 species